rnacentral:hammerhead_ribozyme from 1 species
ACCAGCUGAUGAGUCCCGAAUAGGAUGAAGCACGCGUCCUGGAU